CAGUAGCCGCGGGAAAACGUAGGUGGCAAGCGUUGUCCGGAAUUAUUGGGCGUAAAGGGCUCGCAGGCGGUUUCUUAAGUCUGAUGUGAAAGCCCCCGGCUCAACCGGGGAGGGUCAUUGGAAACUGGGAAACUUGAGUGCAGAAGAGGAGAGUGGAAUUCCACGUGUAGCGGUGAAAUGCGUAGAGAUGUGGAGGAACACCAGUGGCGAAGGCGACUCUCUGGUCUGUAACUGACGCUGAGGAGCGAAAGCGUGGGGAGCGAACAGGAUUAGAUACCCGGGUAGUCCCUGUCUCUUAUAC
rnacentral:rRNA from 1 species